ncrna:unclassified sequences pemK RNA
AUAAUGAUACUCCCGUCCAGCCACAGUCCGAGCGUGAUAGCGAGUCCGGCGUGAAGCCGUCGCAGGCAAUGGGGGCGGUUGCGUGAGAACCACGCAAGGGUGAAAUUCCCGUGG